CAGUCGCCGCGGGAACACGUAGGGUGCGAGCGUUAAUCGGAAUUACUGGGCGUAAAGCGUGCGCAGGCGGUUGUGUAAGACAGGUGUGAAAUCCCCGGGCUUAACCUGGGAACUGCGCUUGUGACUGCACAGCUAGAGUAUGGCAGAGGGGGGUGGAAUUCCACGUGUAGCAGUGAAAUGCGUAGAGAUGUGGAGGAACACCGAUGGCGAAGGCAGCCCCCUGGGCCAAUACUGACGCUCAUGCACGAAAGCGUGGGGAGCAAACAGGAUUAGAUACCCGAGUAGCCCUGUCUCUUAUACA
rnacentral:rRNA from 1 species